UCAAUCGUGUUGAUCUAGGAUAUUGCUUCACCUUUCAGUCUUUGUUACAUGUUUCAGGAAAUGCCAGCAGCUUCUGAGGUGUGAAGUAGCUCUUUACAGGCUCUUCUGUUGCUGUGGAGCUAGAGGUGGUUGGUGUGUGUACUUCGUUAUCACGAAAACCCACAAGAUUAGCUGUUACUGCUGACAUUGACUUGUUGGAGAAAUUCACUGAAAUAUGCUGAGAUUUUACUAACUUGAGUAGCACUAGCUACUUUCAGCAGUUCAGGCCACGUUUUCUCAGAUAUUCUCUUCAGAAUAAAGAAAAUAAGAUAGGAAGAGGGGAAGUGGGGGAGACCUGAAGCAGGCAAGACUUCUGUUUACCUUUAAAAAAGCAUUCCACUUGCAUGCUGGUACCCAGAAUGUCUGAAGAAUCACAGGCUGUUUAUGGACCUUUGCUUUUAUGGACAUAACUUCCACUCUUCACAUCCAGACAGUCUCUGCUCUAGAAUUCCAGUGUGAAAGAAGAGAAGUGUCUGUGCACAUUUUUGUGUCAAGAUCAGAGUGGAGGGUGAUGCUGUCCAUGCUGUGGAGGAGUAUGCUAUACAGGCUGCUGACCCAGGGCAGAAGAUAUUUUGCUGAGGAAAUCUGUCUGGAGCCCUUGGUGACUGCUUUUCAGAGCUUUUGUUCUGCCAGAAUGAGGAAGAAAAGGAAUGGAUGUGAAAGCAAACAUGCAGCAAGCAAAUGGACCGGAGGCCAUGCUGGGAACACCUGGCCUCGCUUCUUAGCAAGGAUACAGAAACACUUGGAUUUCCUGAGAUGGGACUCCUGGGCAAGAUGGGCAAGAUAAGUACCCACACCGAGGUUGUGUGGUUUCUGCUAACUGAUGAUUUAUAUCAUUUAAAUAGUGGACUAUGCAGCAUAUUAAAGGUGUUUUAUGGGGAAGAACAGUGUAAUGUUAUUCAAUUAAGACACUCCUUCCAAACAGUGGAAAAUGCAGUAGUUGCCUUACAAGUCAUUGUUCAUCUUUCCACCAAAAUGCCAUGUACAGAAUGAUUUGAAGAUUCUGAUAUUGCUUUAAAAGGAAAAAAGUAGGGUAUCAUGUUUUUCAUUUUAUAGCAACAUGAGACAUGCCAUGGAAAGACCCAGAACUCAAAUGCCUUCCACAAGCACAGGAGAGUAAUCUUUCUGUCAGACUCUAAAAAUGGCCUGGAUAUCAAAAUGUCACAGCUCUGAAUCCAGUGGCUUUGCCAUGAGGUUGCAGCUGUGAAGGCAGCACUCAAGAUUUCAUUAUGCCUUGUUGAAGGAGGAACAUGGAACUCUUGGUCUCCAGGCCCAAAUGGUAAUCAUUUAUCAGGGAAAUGUUCUUCUCAUUUUCUCUUCUCUUUGUUGAACUCUUUUGUACAUCUACAUAACUUUACAUGCCAGGACCAUUUUAUUCCUUUCCUUUCCUGUCUUUUUACACCUUAGAACUUUUCUCUUUGGAUGUCUAAGAAAAUUAACAACUGUAAGGUUGCUGCUGUAUUAUGUCUAUCACACUCAUCACCACUAUUUCACUGUUGCCUUUUACUUCUGUAUCAUCCAGUCUGUAUAACAUUCUGAACGCACAAAGCUUUUAGAGGAAAGACCAUCCUUAUGUUCUGUGCUCAUGUAAUGUCACCCUGACCCAUGAUUAAUGCUCAAAAAUGCUACGGUAAUACUUCUAUUAUUACUACUAAUCCAUCCUUAAAAAGUACUAUUUAAGAUAAUGUCAAAUAUUGAAAAACUGUUUUGAGCUCAACAGAAAUAACAUCUUCAUUGUCGUAAGACAGAUUUAAAAAUCUUACUAUUAAUAAUAAUAAGUAGACUUCCUGAGGCAAUGCAAAACAGAUGCUUUGUUUUUCACAGGAAAGUGAGGAUUUGCCAGAAAUUCUAUGACUUUAAGAACACAAGAUUAAAGGAGACAAACAUUAGGAGAUUAGCAACAGAGUCAUAAGAAAUGAAAACACUGGAUAUUCAUAAGCUAAUAGUCACAAAAAUCAGAGAUGCAAUGAAAUUCAAUUGUAAACAUUUCAGUCAUCUAAAAAUUACUAUAAUCCCAUUUUUCUUUCUUUUCUUCUUUUUGAAACACUUCUCUGAUUAAAUGAAGUUAGCUUAACUGCGGAUUGUUUAGCUCAAACAUGUAAUAUCUUCAAAGACAAUUAACAGAGUUCAGAAAAGUUCUUUGAUGUGAAAUUAGAAAAAAUUAAUGUAUUAAAAAUAUUUAUUUGGAUUUUGAUUAAGUAACCCAGGAAAGAGCCAUUCUGAGAUGGAGAGAUAGAAGUAAUUUAUAUUCUUUGAACAGGAGAGCCAUUAUUUGUAAUGGACCCAUCCAUGUGAUGGGUCACGAUGUGUUACAGCUAAAUUCAAAGAGGUUACAUGGAAAAAGCACAUAAAUACUAUGCUAGUCAUCUUCCUCAUCAAUAUAUCGUAUGCAGCCUCCGUGAAAAACUCACAGUAACCAAGACUUUAUGAAAUCUAAUGAGAAGUAUUGAAAAUAAAUACAUCUGAUACUACACGAUUUACAAAAUAUGGUAGCUGUCUUGAAUUGUUGCAUAGAGCAAGAAAAUCAGUUGGGUAGGAGUAAUGUACUAAUUAAGGAAUGCUAUAGGAAUGAUGUCUACUGAGGUAAGUUUCUAAUAGGCAUGUGGGGAGAAGAAAUCUGAUCAUAGUUAGCAGGGAAGAAGGAGUCAUACUUCGUGUAAAUCUUAAACCUGCACUACCAAGAACCAGGGAUUAAAGUGGAAGGAAAGCAAGACAUCCGAGAUGGGAUCCAUGUUGGAGAGAGAAUAUACAACCUGAAAUAUCUCACUGAUGUUGGCAACUGUGGAGUUGCAGUGGGGUUUUAGAUGUCUGUCUUCCUUUUCUUCUGUUGCUCCUUCCAUUGAUGUUGUAAGUCAGCUCUGUAAGAUGGUAUUAAAGAGACAAAAGUCUGCUGAGCUGCUGACAUGGAUUUUGAGGCUCACUACAGCCUUAGAGAGUGUGCUCUGGAAUACAGUAUCCUGAAGGAGAGACUAAGCAAGAUCUAUUGCUAUCUAUUAUAGCUAAGUAAGAGAGAAGUGAUGAAUGGCAGUUUGGAGAAGAGACUAAUCACAGACCUAUUUUAAGCUGUUGAAAAGACAUUGCUUUUUAAGGAUUCACCAAGCUCAAGAAUGGUACAAUCCAAUGAGCAGGAAAUCAAGAAGAAAUGUCAGGAAACGCAUGUGGAUGAAUGCACCUCUGUCAUUGCAGAGUCAUUCGUGAUAGUAUUUGAGAGUUCAUGGAAAUUGGGGAUAAGGAAUGAGGACUGGAAGAAAUCAAAUUCUACUAUUGUGUCCAAAAAGUGCAAGAAUGAAGAAACAGAGAACUAUAGGUCAAAUACCUUCAGUUUGAUCUCUGGGUAGCUGAAGAAGGAAAUAAUUCUUGAAGCCGUUUCCAAACUCAUUAAAGACAAAAAAUUGCAUGAGAGUAGUCAACAUGUAUUAACAAAGGGGAGAUUACAUUUAGCCAGCCUGAUAACCUCUGAUGACUGGCUUGGCGGAUGAGUAGAGAACAGUCAGCAUUGUUUAUUCUUACUUCAGUAAGGCUUUCAGCACUGUUUCCCAGAGUACCCUAAUAGAUAAAUUGAUGAAGUAUAAGGUAUAUAAAUGAACAGUGAUGUGGGUUGAAAACUUGCUGAAUUGUUGUGCUUAAAGGGUUGUCAUCACUGACAUGAACCCCGGUUGGAGGGCACUCAUAGAUGGUGUAUCAGAGAGGUUUAUCUUGGGGCCAGUGGUGUUUGACUUCCUUAUUAAUGACCUAGUCUAUGUGACAGAGGGCACCCUCGGAAGAUUUGCAGGUGACAGAAAACUGGGAGGAGUAGCAGAUAUAUCAGAUAGGAUGCCAUCCAGAGGGACUUCAACAGUCUGGAGAAGUGGGCUGAGAAGUAUCUCGUGAAGAUUAACAAAGGAAAGUGCAAGGUCCCGCACCUGAGGAGGAAUAAAACCAUCACUAGUAUAUAUUGAGGACUAACCAGCUAGAAAUCUUUGCAGAACAGCACCUAGAAAUGCUGGUGGAUGACAAGCUGAAUAUAAGCCAACAAAAUGCUCUUCCAAUGAAGCAGGCCAAGAAUAGCCUGGGCUGCAUUAGGAAAAACAUUUGCCAGUAGGUUGACAGAUGUAACCCUUCCACUCAGCACUAACAAGACACAUCUGUAGUGCUGGUCUCAUUCUGGACUCCUCGGUACAAGUGAGACAAGGAAAUACUAGAGUGAGUCCAGUGGAGAGCCAAAAAGAUGACAGACUAUAGCAUCUGUCAUACAAAGUGAGGCUGAGAAAGCUGAGACAGUUCAGCCUGGAGAAGGGAAGGCUCUAAGGGAUUUUAUCAAUGCGUAUAAAUGCCUGAUGGAGGGAAUAAGUAGACAAAGCAAGACUUUACUCAGCAGUGUCCAAUCACAAGAAAAGAGGCAAAGGACACAAAUUGAAAUAUGGGAAAUUCCAUGUGAACAUAAGUAAAAACUUCUCUAUUGUGAGGGUGUUCAAACACCAGAAAAGGUUUUCCAAAGAGCAACCUGCUCUUGCUGACCCAGGUCUGAGCAGAGGGUUCAGGGCAUUCGGCCAGAUAAUCUCCAGCCUCAAUAAUUUUGUGGUUCUAUGAUUGUGUUUACUUUUUUUUUUUUCCAAAUUUUUCUAUGAAUAGUUUAAUAUUUUUUUAAACACAAUACUAAUUAAUCUGACUUUAAACUUCUAUGAUGCUCAGUGAAAAUUCAGGUUAAUUUAACAGAAAACAUAACUACAUAAAUCCAGAUUUCCAUGACUCUAGCCAAGUUUGGAAAUUGGACUGUCUCCAAGUAAAGUAUCAAUUAAAAGUCAGUAUGAAUUUUAGUACUCUCAGAUGUCAAAUGAAAUGUUAUGGGCUGCCCCUAGUUGACAUUUCCAGUGCCUCUCCAACAGACAGUAGUGAAGAAAACUUCCUUUACAGCCAACUGCUAUGUCCUCAUAACAUGCAAAACAUGUCUCUUCUGUACAUCUUAUGGAAGAAAUGGGCUGGGUGGACAACAUACAAGGUAGAAAAGGUCCCCAUCCUAUUUGCUCUCACUUGUUCACAUGAAUCUGAGGGGUCAUAGUCCUAUUAUUCUGAAAGUAUUGCAUGCUGCAGGUGGGAGGAACAUGGAGCUAUAAAGCUUCCGGCUUCUGAAGCUUCUGCUGCUACUGUAAGAAGACAGUAUCAGAAAAGAAGUACAGUUUGUCAUAGGGAUUCUGGAAAUUUGCCAUAGUUCAGAUUUGCAGGAACAAGGAAAAAUCAGAGAAGCUCUGGGCAGAUAGAGUUUAAAGAGUGAUAGUUAAUGGUCUUUUUACCUAGUUUUUCUUCAUACAUUGUGCACAUUUCUGUAAAGAGGAGUUACAGUACACCCUUAUUGUACACUUGAGGCUUGGGAAACAUCAGCUUGCACUAAUAAAUAGCUAUGUUGAUGCAUACAUAAUAUGCUAAAAUAAUUAAUGAAUUUAAAUGAAGUCACAAUUCCAAAGAUGCUUUAUAAAAUCUCUUCAGUCGUAUCAUAUAAUUUUCUUAUAAGGACAAAAACUAACCUUGGGGAACUGUUUGCCUAAUGGUGAUGUCACAAGGUUCAUACAGUAGGCAUUUAGGAUUCACCUACCAGUAAAUGACAGCUUGCUGACAAGUAUGUCUUCAUUUGCAUACAUAAAGUCAGGAAAAAAAUUAAGUAGUACAAUCUUUAAACAUGUUCCUUUUGAAAACAGUCUUAGAUGUUGUAGCAGUGUAGUUAUGUGAAAAAAAGAGUUUGAUAACAGAAUUCAGAAAAAAUGUUGUUAUCCUUUUUAGCAUGGCUGAUUUCUUUCGAAGGUCAAAUAAUGAAAUCUAGCUCUCUUCAAUUGCUGGAUAACCUUGAAACCACAUUUAAGAUAUGCAGGAUGCAUGCUAACAUUAGCUAAUCUCUCUGAUUACAAUUCUACACAACAACUUAUUUUAGUCUUAAGGUAUGAGCCUUUUCAUUCUCCAAAAGGCAGAUUUAAAGUUAUUAAAUUCUAGAGGGAAUAAGUGAGUAAUGCAAUAUAUAAAUUAUUUGCUUAUCUACAUUAAAAUGCUCCAGAACAUAAAAUCAUGUGAAUAUAUAUAUAUAAAAAUAUAUAUAAAACCUGUAUCUUCACCUUUGUACUUUGAGAUAGAGGACUAGAUUAAGAUAUUAUUGUGGUUUUAUUUUGGGUAUAAAACUCCAUUCAUUUCAGAAGAGUUACUCUAAGCUUACCUACAGGGCGGAAACAGAUUUAAGUUCAAACAAUAAUGAAGAUAUGGAUUUAUUGAUAAUAUAUGUAAAGUUAAUGGUGUGGCUGCUUGAAAUGGUAGGUUUGAGAAUUUCUUUUAAAGGCAUAAAAACUAGUUGUAGGAUUUCUAUGUGUAAACACACGUCACACCAUCAUUAAAUGUAAUUUUUCUAUGAGAUCUUGUUAUUACACUGGCACACAGAAAAUGUUCCAACAACAGUGAAUGUUUCAGAAAGACUUCACUUAUGGCUCAGUUCAUGGACUUCACUGUAGCAUCAAGAUUCUUGCCCUGGAACAUCUGGAAACAAAACAAGUGAGAAGAGGAGGAAGGCUAAAAUCAGAGUGUUUAGACACAUGAUGGCAAUCUAAUUUACGUGCAAAUAUAAAAGUAAGGAAUAGCUUGGGCUAACAAAAAUUCUAAAUGACCAGUUCUUCACUUUAUUCUGAUCCUGUGUGACAAGAACUGGUGAAAUGAAUGAAGAGGUUGAUACAAUCCAAGGCACAGGCUGACACAGUUAUUAAAUAUGUGGGCCCAAUGCACGUGCUGUGAAAUAGUGCUAGGAAUUGAAGAGACAUGCAAAUUAACUAGCAAAGAACUGUAACUUCACAAAGAAUGUGUUCUUCAAGAUAUAAAAGAUCCACUUGUAAAGUCACAGGUUUUAUCAUUUUGCAGGGAAUAUUAAUUCAUUUUGUCUGUGUUGUUUCCUGGGAAAAGCCAGAGCUUUCCUCUCAACAAAAUUAUUUCCUAUAAAAUGAAUUUUUUGCAUCUUUUGUGGCUUCGCAUUGCAUUAUUCACCUGCUAGUGAACUCUAUCAUAUCAGAGAAAUGAUAAGGGCAGAUAUUGGAAAAAAUCUUGAAUUGAAAGAACUGCAACCUAAGAAUCAUUCUUCUCCUUCUUUAAUAUUUAUAUUGCAGUAGUGCUCAAAGAUUUUGUCGUUGUAUGUGAGAUACAAACACAGGGAUACAAAUGGACCCUUCUCAAAGUACUUUCAAUAAAAGAAUAAAAAAAAAAGAAAGAAGUGGGGAGGCUAACAAAAAAAGACUUUUUAUGAAAGGACAAUAGCUUGCAGAGUUUCUGAGAAGGCUGUUCUUCACCCUUAGAUCUGACUUUCUGACUUCAUAUUUUAGUGGAUCUCUCUGGCAGAUGGAAAAGUCUUCAGAAUCCUAAGCAAGGGUGAUUGGUUCUGGUGUUUUCAGAACUGUCUACUGCAUCCUGAACAUUUUCCAUGCAUCACUGACUGGGAACAUUUUAAGUUGGUGUCAAAGACAGAGUCUGUGGGGAAGUCUGCACACAAAUAAUACUUCUUCAUUGUUCUUGCUCAGAAGUCUUCAUGCUUUUUGCAAGCUGUUUCACCCACUGCGGCAGAAGAGUAAACUAUAAAUAAUCAAUCUGUUUUUUUUUCCUUAGCAACCCAUAUUCUCAUUUUCAGAGCCAGUAUACCACUGGAUGACAGAAAGAGAAAGUGCUCAACUCCAUUAGCACCAGCUAUCCAGUGGGGCCUGACUUGGCAGGCAUGUGAUAACUGCCAUGUAAGGAAGCAUAGGAGAGGCCACACAGGAAGAUUAUAUAAAUGAGAACCACAGCUGUAGACAGAUAAUGAAAUAUAAUGAGAUGGGCUGGAGGAAACUGGAUGUCCUUUGGCAUAAGGAAACAAACUACUUUUUGUAAGCUUUUAUUCAAGAAAAAGUGUCUUACAUUCACAUAUAUAGACCACAAUCUGUGAGAGUGGCAUAAAACAUAACUCAAAAUCUUGAAGUAGUCUCCUAAGUGGAGAUACUUACGAAACAAGAGUUCUGAAAUUCUGAAAGUGCAGUGACAGCUCCCUGGAAUCAAGCCUUUAGCGCCCUAUUUUAUUGUAUUUAGCUCUGAAGUUGGAGGGGAAGGUGAACAGUAGGGUGGUGAACAGUGUUUGAGCUUGCAGAUUUGGUCAGGGUCAUUAAAAUUGUGAAGUGUCCUCACAGGCCAGAAAAGAAAAAAAGUGUGAUGUCACUGAACAGCUGCUGGAAGCAGCACUAGCAAGGACACUGUGAGCUCCCUAGACCUAUUUCCACCCUGUCAAACUGGAGCUGGAGAGAUCACAACUACUGUGGGAACUAUCCCAACUAUUCAUGCAUGGUCUGCUGUAAGGUAUUUGCCAGCAGCUCCAGGCAUGGCCCAAGGCUACAAGAAGCAAGACAAGAAGCAAAAUGGUAAUUUAUGGCAAUUAAUUUCACCCUCUGCUUUUGGUCUAGAUAAGAAAUGGUGAGAAAAGAAAUGGUAAAGUAAGGUAAUAGGGAAAGAUACUGAGAAGUAUUUGAGUAGAGGGACUCUUGACCUUUCCUAUACAAAACCCAAAAAGAAAACAAUCAUCUAGAAGUGGUUCAAAAGAGCAAAUAUGCUGCUGAAGAAAAGAUAAUGAAAAAGACUAAGAGUCCAGAUGGAACAUGAUGUGUAAUGAAAAACUCUCUAAGAAGUAGUUCCUUUGGGAAAACUUGAUUGCCACGUUCAGGAGGCUUUGUCUCUCACUUGGUGCUCUCAUAGGUGUUACCUCUUGGGCCACAAAAGGGGAAAUUUUACUCAUGUAGUCAUGUAGGAACUCUGAGGUGUCCGAAAUAAGAAAUUCACACAGCUAACUGGUUUUGCAGAGGAAAGGAAUUUAAGUCCCUAGAGAAAGCUCACUGGAUGUUUUUAUGGAGAAGGAAGAUCUACCUGAAACUUUCAGGAAUUCAAGCAAAAGCCAGGGAAUUUCAGCAGUUUUACACCUGGUUCCUGGAGAAGCAUCUACAUCCGAAUCAUGGAGAGCAGCUAAGAUGAAGCCUAUAGAAGCAGAGAAAAUUCUCCCUAUUCCACUAAAUAGGCAUACAAAUCUAAGUUAGGCUUCAUAUGUUUUGAAAACAGCUCUUCCAUGGAUGAAAAGGAGGUUCUAUAUUGAGUGUCCUAUAAUUCCUCUAUCCAUUUAUUUUGUGAAAAGUCUCUACCACCUGUAUUUGGAUGCUCUGUAAACAAGGUACUUCUGCUUGUGCUCAUGUUUGAAUUCUGACUUGGAAAUCCUGUUUACCAAGUUACCACUUGCCUGGGUAGAGUUUCUUUGCUAGCUCUUUACUCCUGGGACACAAGGAGCUCUGAGUAAAAAAAAUAAUUUGCAACACAUAAUUUAUUUGGCAAAGUCAGCCUUUUGCUCUUUUUUCCAUGAGCGUAGCAGCAGCACGGUUUCUUGAAUGUACUCAUUAUUCAAAUAUAUUCUCUGAAUAAACAGCCGAACACUCUGUACUGUCAGAUUUUGCCAUGACAUGUUGACUGGUGAUGCAUCUCUCUUGGGCUUGGCUGAUCACUCUGAGGUUGAGAACAUUUAUGCAGAGAAAAUAUCCCACUGUGGUUUGUAAUUUGCCUCUGAGCCCCUCUCCCCUCAUUCUGAAAGGCGGAUCUGUGUGAUUAUAAGGGCUAAACUUAGAUGUGGGUGAUGGGAAGGGGCAUCAAAGAAAGCCUACAAUUCUACAGUUCUGUAGUGUAUGAUAGGACAAGCAGUCUCAUAUCAAGGGUGUUCCUUUCUAUUUCAUUAUUCAGAAGGAAUUUCUGAAGAGAUCUGAAGCAGAGUGAAGAAAAGCAACUGAGUUUUGUCUAUUCCAGAGCCUGACAAACUUGUUGGGGGAGUUGUGUUGUCUACCUAGACAAGACUUCCUUGUCUGUCUGCAUCUUGAGUCAAGCUACUGUGGCAGUGGUCCAGGUGGGAAGAAUCAGCUGCUGAUCUCUGAGCAGCGCAGGCAGGGAUGGGAGGGCUGGGGUGUGUGGGAGCUGUUGGCAGGGUGC